rnacentral:misc_RNA from 1 species
AUGAGUUUUUGGUUUGUUAGUGUUACUAACGUAACCAUAAAAACUUCAUCCUUUGUUUAUACAAAUUGUAUACUUUGGCAAGACGCUUUGACUUGAAGUUGGAGAAUAUUCAGCCACAAGAAGAAGCCACUGACGUCAUCCGAUGUGAGUGUGUUUUGCUUGCCAAAGGUCUUAACUCUUUUAUACUGUUGUCUGAGUACUACAAAAAUAAAUUA